rnacentral:rRNA from 1 species
AAAAAUCGUUAAAACUUUCAACAACGGAUCUCUUGGUUCCGGCAUCGAUGAAGAACGCAGCGAAAUGCGAUACGUAAUGUGAAUUGCAGAAUUCAGUGAAUGAUCGAGUCUUUGAUCGCACAUUGCGCCCCCUGGUAUUCCGGGGGGCUUGCCUGUCCGAGCGUCAUUGCUGCCCUCAAGCACGGCUUGUGUGUUGGGCCCCCGUCCCCCUCCCAGGAAGGGGACGGGCCCGAAAGGCAGCGGCGGCACCGUGUCCGGUCCUCGAGCGUAUGGGAAGCAACUUUUUUGUCACCCGCUCCUGUAGGUCCGGCCGGCGGCCUGCCCAACCCCAACCUUCUUUUUUUUAACCAGGUUGACCUCGGAUCAGGUAGGGAUACCCGCUGAACUUAAGCAUAUCAAUAAGCGGAGGAAAAGAAACCAACCGGGAUUGCCUCAGUAACGGCGAGUGAAGCGGCAAGAGCUCAAAUUUGAAAUCUGGCCCCUCCGGGGUCCGAGUUGUAAUUUGUAGAGGAUGCUUCGGGUGCGGCCCCUGUCUAAGUGCCCUGGAACGGGCCAUCGGAGAGGGUGAGAAUCCCGUCUGGGAUGGGGUGUCCGUGCCCGUGUGAAGCUCCUUCGACGAGUCGAGUUGUUUGGGAAUGCAGCUCUAAAUGGGUGGUAAAUUUCAUCUAAAGCUAAAUACUGGCCGGAGACCGAUAGCGCACAAGUAGAGUGAUCGAAAGAUGAAAAGCACUUUGAAAAGAGAGUUAAACAGCACGUGAAAUUGUUGAAAGGGAAGCGCUUGCGACCAGACUCGCCCACGGGGUUCAGCCGGCUUUCGGGCCGGUGUACUUCCCCGGGGGCGGGCCAGCGUCGGUUUGGGCGGCCGGUCAAAGGCCCCCGGAAUGUAACGCCCCUCCGGGGGCGUCUUAUAGCCGGGGGUGUCAUGCGGCCAGCCUAGACCGAGGAACGCGCUUCGGC